rnacentral:rRNA from 1 species
CAGUCGCCGCGGUAAUACAGAGGGUGCAAGCGUUGUCCGGAUUUAUUGGGUUUAAAGGGUGCGUAGGCGGCCUAAUAAGUCAGUGGUGAAAGCCUCCAGCUUAACUGGAGAACUGCCAUUGAUACUGUUAGGCUUGAGUAUACUUGAGGUAGGCGGAAUUGACAGUGUAGCGGUGAAAUGCAUAGAUAUUGUCAAGAACACCAAUUGCGAAGGCAGCUUACUAAAUUAUAACUGACGCUGAGGCACGAAAGUGUGGGUAUCAAACAGGAUUAGAGACCCCAGUAGUCCCUGUCUCUUAUAC